rnacentral:rRNA from 1 species
GGCUUACCUGCAAGUCGAGCGGGGAAGGGUAGCUUGCUACCUGACCUAGCGGCGGACGGGUGAGUAAUGCUUAGGAAUCUGCCUAUUAGUGGGGGACAACAUUCCGAAAGGAAUGCUAAUACCGCAUACGCCCUACGGGGGAAAGCAGGGGAUCUUCGGACCUUGCGCUAAUAGAUGAGCCUAAGUCAGAUUAGCUAGUUGGUGGGGUAAAGGCCUACCAAGGCGACGAUCUGUAGCGGGUCUGAGAGGAUGAUCCGCCACACUGGGACUGAGACACGGCCCAGACUCCUACGGGAGGCAGCAGUGGGGAAUAUUGGACAAUGGGCGAAAGCCUGAUCCAGCCAUGCCGCGUGUGUGAAGAAGGCCUUUUGGUUGUAAAGCACUUUAAGCGAGGAGGAGGCUACCGAGAUUAAUACUCUUGGAUAGUGGACGUUACUCGCAGAAUAAGCACCGGCUAACUCUGUGCCAGCAGCCGCGGUAAUACAGAGGGUGCGAGCGUUAAUCGGAUUUACUGGGCGUAAAGCGUGCGUAGGCGGCUUUUUAAGUCGGAUGUGAAAUCCCUGAGCUUAACUUAGGAAUUGCAUUCGAUACUGGGAAGCUAGAGUAUGGGAGAGGAUGGUAGAAUUCCAGGUGUAGCGGUGAAAUGCGUAGAGAUCUGGAGGAAUACCGAUGGCGAAGGCAGCCAUCUGGCCUAAUACUGACGCUGAGGUACGAAAGCAUGGGGAGCAAACAGGAUUAGAUACCCUGGUAGUCCAUGCCGUAAACGAUGUCUACUAGCCGUUGGGGCCUUUGAGGCUUUAGUGGCGCAGCUAACGCGAUAAGUAGACCGCCUGGGGAGUACGGUCGCAAGACUAAAACUCAAAUGAAUUGACGGGGGCCCGCACAAGCGGUGGAGCAUGUGGUUUAAUUCGAUGCAACGCGAAGAACCUUACCUGGUCUUGACAUAGUAAGAACUUUCCAGAGAUGGAUUGGUGCCUUCGGGAACUUACAUACAGGUGCUGCAUGGCUGUCGUCAGCUCGUGUCGUGAGAUGUUGGGGUUAAGUCCC